rnacentral:tRNA from 1 species
GGGAUUGUGGCUGAGUGGUAAAGUGCUAGCCUGCCAUGUUUGAGGUACUGGGUUCAAUCCUG